GUGAGGAAUUUUCCGCAAUGGGCGAAAGCCUGACGGAGCAAUGCCGCGUGAAGGAUGAAGGCCUAUGGGUUGUAAACUUCUUUUCUUAGAGAAGAAUAUUGACGGUAUCUGAGGAAUAAGCAUCGGCUAACUCUGUGCCAGCAGCCGCGGUAAGACAGAGGAUGCAAGCGUUAUCCGGAAUGAUUGGGCGUAAAGCGUCUGUAGGUGGCUUCAAAAGUCUCCUGUCAAAGAUCAGGGCUUAACCCUGGGGCGGCAGGAGAAACUCUGAGGCUAGAGUUUGGUAGGGGCAGAGGGAAUUGCCGGGGGAGCGGUGAAAUGCGUAGAGAUCGGGAGGAACACCAAAGGCGAAAGCACUCUGCUGGGCCACAACUGACACUGAGAGACGAAAGCGAGGGGAGCAAAAGGGAUUAGAUACCCGGGUAGUCC
rnacentral:rRNA from 1 species